UUUUGGUAGCAUAGAUAUAGCAGAGUACACGAGAUAUAAUCCCUAACAAAUCUUUUCUAUCUAAAUAAAUAGGAGAUCCCAUUUUCCUGAACUCCCAUGCGGCCACGUCAUCACUUUUUCUGCACGGUCGUGGCGCAAUUGUGUUUCUCCUCACUCCCUGUCUGCUGCGUUUUUUAAUGGUCCCAAGAAGCCAAUUCUUCUUACGUAGGCUGGACAUCGCCUCGCGGGCUGGAUGGGGAUCACGUCCCCGGAUCGGUUUCUUCGCCAGCCUGCUGCUCUUCAUUCCUCUGUAUGACUAAAUCGAUUCCCCAUCAAGAUUCAAGACUAAUCGAUUCCUAUUCUCGCUUCUCAUCUUCCACAACGAGUAAAUGCGGCAGUAAUUGGUGGAGCACUCUCCUCUUCUUAAGCGAUGGAUCAUCUUCCCCAUCGAGUAAAUGCGGCAGUAAUUGGUAGAGCACUCUCCUCUUCUUAAGCGAUGGAUUUGCUAGAUCAAUUCCCGUCGUCUACAACAGACUGGAUAUCCACGUCUCUGCCUUAGAGCUUCCAUUGAAGCCUCUUUACUGCUGGUUGUGGGCGUGCUCUGUGGCACAUGUUGAUGUUGUUGUGUCUUCUAUCGGUGGAAUCGGGCGUCUCCCACCAUGAAGAAUACUGUGUCUCUACUUCAUCCAUGUACAUGCAGGAGUUACCUGCUGAGAAGGUUAGAUUCUGAUUAAUUCUUCUUAUUAACCUUACUGCACCAUUUGUUUUGCAUCCCUUGCAGUCUGUUUCUGUCCAUAUAGGCAUAUACUGAUGCCUCCUUGAUAGCAUUACAUGUCGUCUUGGUUCAGCACAUGUUCAUGAUUCCUCCAUUGCUGAAUGUCUCUAUUCCUCAUCCCCUCUCUAUCUUGCUACUUCAGCGUGAGAAUUUUGCAAGAUUGUUGAUUGCCAUCUUCAGGAAAUCUUGCAGCCUCCUCCAACCUAUCGGAGAUCUUGAUGGAGUCGAUAUGAACCAAAAUAUUAAGCAUAACUAUGAAGCCCACCUCAUCUAUAAAACGAUGACUGAAUCCCACCUCACGUUGGACGUGUGAAGUGGGGACUCCUAGCUAGCAUCCAGCUCUCCUGUAAGGUCACCCCUAUUACUGGUACAUGUCUAUUACAUAUUUCUUCGUUUUGUAGUACUGAAGGCACUGCAAAGGUUUAAGUGGACCUCUGAUUAAUUUGAUUCCAAGGCAUUUUUUCUGAAGAUAUUUGAUGUGAGACAUGCAUCUAUAGAUACAGUGAAACUCUAACAAUGGAUGUGGUGGCAACAAAGAUUAUACUUAUGUGUAUUUCAUCUUCUUUUUCGUAUCAUGUGUGUUACAGAAAAAGGGAAGUCGUUAUUUGGAUACUCCAUGGUUGUUUGUGUUUAUCUAUAAUAUUUGAAUAAUAUUUGAUAAUGCAGAGAAGUGGAAUAUAAAAAUCCUCAUUAAUUAUUAUUGUGACUCAUAAAUUCCUAAUAUUAUUAUCCUUUUUCUUAUUGUCACUCAUAUGCAGACUGGAAGCGACAAUGGUCACUUGCUUAUUCACAAAGAAUCAAAUUCAAGGUGUCCGGUAGAUGUUCUGAAUUACUUAUCUGUCCUGUGAAAGUGAUAUAGUCUAACCAUAUGUAUUCCAAGUGUUCAGUGUGAUUAGAGAACAUGAUAUUGGAUUAUCAUUUUUUCAGGUACUUUGGCAAGUUGAACAAAUGAUGAACCAUACGGAAGUAAUUCUAUACUGUUGUUCACAUGAUAUUUCCAAGCUAAACUGUACGUAUGUUAGACAAACUGAAAAAUAACAAUGAUGCUAUUUAAGCAAAAAUGGCAAUUUAAGAUCAAUGGUUGCACACUGACUCAGUAUGUGGAUAUGAACAUGUAUGCUGCUCAAAGUAGGUAAUUGCAAUACUAUAGAUGUUUCCCUUGCAGUUUUCUUUCAGAAUAACAUUGGAAAUUGCCCCAUUUCUGAAUUAAAAUGAAUUGAGCCAUUCAUCUUAUCUACUGAUCCUUGCUUUGGUUUCAGUUCCCACCCCCAAUGUGCCUUGAUUGUGUUAUCAUGCCUCAUGAUGCGUCAGUUUAAGUGGUAGACCAAAUUUACAACAUAAACCAACCUGGCACUCUUUGAUAUGGUGUAUAUAUGUUUCUGCAACUAUCAAGCUACUUAGGUGAACAUUGCAUAUCUGAAAUGAUUAUGAUAUUGAUCAAAAGGGCUCAAUUUGUAAGGCUGGGACAGAAUCUGCCAACCAUUAACUUAUUUUUGUUGUGUCCUUCAUUGGAUAGUGUUGUUCCAAACUCUCCAAUUUACAAAUAUAUAUGGGACCAUUGCAACUUUAUGCAAGCUGCUUAUCAGCAUAAAAUACUUUUAGCUCGACUGAUAUCCUCCGGUGCUAAAUGUACAUUGCUACUUUUACUUAACCGAUUCUCCAUAGAUAUAUGUACAUUGUUACUUUUACUUAACCAAUUCUCCAAAGAUAUAUCAACAUUUUCUGCAGCAACGCGCGGGGCAUCAUCUAGUAGUACAUGCUAAGCAGCCCAAGGCACCUACUGUUAAAAUCAACACUCGACUUAACAGAUAAACAUAGAAACAAUAGCAUAUAUACAUGUCCGCUAGCUGGAAUACACUUCAAAAUAUGGACAAGUUCAGGUCCAACAUCUGUGCUAUAGGUGUGACUCACUGGAACAACAGAGCAUACAAUUAUCUAUCGGUAGGCAUCAGCGGAUACAUAGACUGUGAGAAGAAGCAGCAUCGUGUGAUCCCUCACUCCGACCACCUAGGCCCUAGGUUACUUGCACUGAUAAAUGGAGAUUGCGCCAGUCAUCUAUCAAGAUUUUGAUCUGCCUCCAUUUUCUGAUAUUUUGUAAAGAUUGAGCCAAUCUGCCAUCUUCAAGUCAGGGGCAUUCUUGAGAGUGAUUAUGGGAAGUUGCAAAAUUUUGGUUGGGAAGAGUAGACGAACUGAUAAAGGGGUAGGACUUACCGCAGUGAAAAAAUAUGGUUAUCUCUCUUUUUGGCUAAGAAUGUGCAUGGUUAGUAUUUUAGAUAUACAUUCACUAGCUACAAUGAUAUCUCUGAAGUAGAUGGAAACCCAGAUUAAAAAUGGGAGAGGGAUCCUGAUGUCACUGCUCUUGCGGAUUUCAUUAACUCAAUUUUACCAACGUCAAAAUUAUUCCUUUCGUAGAUGGUCCGACUUAUGUAGAUGUUGCUUUUGUUGUUCCUUCCUUGCUUAUGUUGUUCUUGACAUGGCCAUUAAGUGUUUGCUACUAUAAUAUAUUCCUUUUGUUU